rnacentral:rRNA from 1 species
AUACGGAGGAUGCGAGCGUUAUCCGGAUUUAUUGGGUUUAAAGGGUGCGCAGGCGGGCGAUUAAGUCAGCGGUGAAAGGCUCGGGCUCAACCGGAGCAGUGCCAUUGAUACUGGCGUGCUAGAGUACGGACGGCGCCGGCGGAAUGUGUCAUGUAGCGGUGAAAUGCUUAGAUAUGCCACAGAACACCGAUCGCGAAGGCAGCUGGCGAGGCCGGUACUGACGCUCAGGCACGAAAGCGUGGGGAUCAAACAGGAUUAGAUACCCUGGUAGUCCACGCAGUAAACGAUGAUAACUUGUUGUCGGCGAUAGAGUGUCGGUGACAAAGCGAAAGCGAUAAGUUAUCCACCUGGGGAGUACGAUCGCAAGGUUGAAACUCAAAUGAAUUGACGGGG